rnacentral:rRNA from 1 species
UACGUAGGGUGCGAGCGUUGUCCGGAAUUAUUGGGCGUAAAGAGCUCGUAGGCGGUGUGUCACGUCGGCCGUGAAAACCUGCAGCUUAACUGUGGGCGUGCGGUCGAUACGGGCAUCACUGGAGUUCGGCAGGGGAGACUGGAAUUCCUGGUGUAGCGGUGAAAUGCGCAGAUAUCAGGAGGAACACCGGUGGCGAAGGCGGGUCUCUGGGCCGAUACUGACGCUGAGGAGCGAAAGCGUGGGAGCAAACAGG